UACGUAGGGUGCAGGCGUUAAUCGGAAUUACUGGGCGUAAAGCGUGCGCAGGCGGUUUGCUAAGACAGGUGUGAAAUCCCCGGGCUUAACCUGGGAACUGCGCUUGUUACUGGCAAGCUAGAGUGUGGCAGAGGGGGGUGGAAUUCCAGGUGUAGCAGUGAAAUGCGUAGAUAUCAAGAGGAACACCUGCGGCGAAGGCGGGUUGCUGGGCUGACACUGACGCUGAGGCGCGAAAGCCAGGGGAGCAAACGGG
rnacentral:rRNA from 1 species